rnacentral:sRNA from 1 species
UUUGAAAAGAUAAAAUUUAUAUUUGUUCAACCGGUGAAAAAAAUAUUUAUAUCUAUUAGUUUGCUCUUGUCAUUCUGUCUUCCGGUAAGACCACACUCUUUUUCGCUCUUUACGUAUUUUUUUAAAAAUCGAAAAUAAUCAUGAUGCUCCAAAUUUAUAUGUAUUGUUAAGCCAAAAAAUAUUUUUAUGAGAACUCAAACCGAAACUAUAAUGUUGUUUUUUAACUUAGACUUU